CCUACGGGCGGCAGCAGUGAGGAAUAUUGGUCAAUGGGCGGGAGCCUGAACCAGCCAAGUCGCGUGAGGGAAGAAGGUACUGCGUAUUGUAAACUUCUUUUGUCAGGGAACAAAGGCGGGGACGAGUCCCCGGAUGAGGGUACCUGAAGAAAAAGCAUCGGCUAACUCCGUGCCAGCAGCCGCGGUAAUACGGAGGAUGCGAGCGUUAUCCGGAUUUAUUGGGUUAAAAGGGGGCGCAGGCGGACUGUUAAGUCAGCGGUAAAAGCCCGGGGCUCAACCCCGGCCAGCCGUGUAAACUGGCGUGCUGGAGUUGGAGAGAAGUACGCGGAAUGCGCGGUGUAGCGGUGAAAUGCUUAGAUAUCACGCAGAACCCCGAUUGCGAAGGCAGCAUACCGGCUCCACACUGACGCUGAGGCACGAAAGCGUGGGUAUCGAACAGGAUUAGAUACCCCUGUAGUC
rnacentral:rRNA from 1 species